UACGUAGGGGGCUAGCGUUGUCCGGAAUCAUUGGGCGUAAAGCGCGUGUAGGCGGUCCGGCAAGUCCGCUGUGAAAGUCGGGGGCUCAACCCUCGGAUGCCGGUGGAUACUGUCGGGCUUGAGUACGGAAGAGGCGAGUGGAAUUCCUGGUGUAGCGGUGAAAUGCGCAGAUAUCAGGAGGAACACCAAUUGCGAAGGCAGCUCGCUGGGACGUUACUGACGCUGAGGCGCGAAAGCGUGGGGAGCAAACAGG
rnacentral:rRNA from 1 species